AAGUCGUAACAAGGUUUCCGUAGGUGAACCUGCGGAAGGAUCAUUAACGGAUGUAUGAAAGCACUGGCUUCCGGCCAGCACUGCCUCAAUUAGGGCAGCACUGCCUCAAUCAAGGCAGCGGAGGUAGGACCGCGGUCCUACGGCAACGCGUCUGUCUGUUCGGUCGACUGAUGUGCGCAACACUGACAACUUUUAACAAUGGAUCUCUUGGCUCUU
rnacentral:misc_RNA from 1 species